GAGCGGAAGUCAGCUGCACACGUACUCAAACUGGAACCAUACAGAGAAGAUUAGCAUGGCCCCUGCCCAAGGAUGGCACGCAUAUUCGUGAAGCGUUCCGUAUUUUU
ensembl:snRNA U6 U6 spliceosomal RNA